GACGAACGCUGGCGGCGUGCUUAACACAUGCCAGUCGAACGGAAAGGCCCUGCUUUUGUGGGGUGCUCGAGUGGCGAACGGGUGAGUAACACGUGAGUAACCUGCCCUUGACUUUGGGAUAACUUCAGGAAACUGGGGCUAAUACCGGAUAGGAGCUCCUGCUGCAUGGUGGGGGUUGGAAAGUUUCGGCGGUUGGGGAUGGACUCGCGGCUUAUCAGCUUGUUGGUGGGGUAGUGGCUUACCAAGGCUUUGACGGGUAGCCGGCCUGAGAGGGUGACCGGCCAAAUGGGGACUGAGGUCGGGCCGAGCCACCUAGGGGGGGGAGGAGGGGGGAAUAUGGCAAAAUGGGCGGAGGCGGGAUGAAGAAACCCCGGGGGGGGGAUGGGGGCCUUGGGGUUGAAAACCGUUUUCGCCUGGGACGAAGGGGGAGGGGCGGGAAUGGGUAAAGAAGCAGCGGCUAACUACGG
rnacentral:rRNA from 1 species